AUUACAACUUUCAGCAAUGGAUCUCUUGGCUCUCGCAUCGAUGAAGAACGCAGCGAAUUGCGAUAUGUAAUGUGAAUUGCAGAUCUACAGUGAAUCAUCGAAUCUUUGAACGCACAUUGCGCUCCUCGGUGUUCCGAGGAGCAUGCCUGUUUGAGUGUCA
rnacentral:rRNA from 1 species